UACGUAGGGUGCGAGCGUUAAUCGGAAUUAUUGGGCGUAAAGGGCGCGUAGGCGGCCGGAUAAGUCAAAGGUGAAAUCCCUCGGCUCAACUGAGGAACUGCCUUUGAAACUGUUUGGCUCGAGUCCGGGAGGGGGUAGCGGAAUUCCCAGUGUAGCGGUGAAAUGCGUAGAUAUUGGGAGGAACACCAGUGGCGAAGGCGGCUACCUGGACCGGAACUGACGCUGAUGCGCGAAAGCGUGGGGAGCAAACAGG
rnacentral:rRNA from 1 species